rnacentral:rRNA from 1 species
GACAGAGGUGCCGAGCGUUAGGCGGAAUCACUGGGCUUAAAGCGUGUGUAGGCGGAUCGUUAAGUAUCUUGUGAAAUCCCACGGCUCAACCGUGGAACUGCUGGGUAUACUGGCGAUCUUGAGCAACCUAGGGGCAGACGGAACAAGUGGUGGAGCGGUGAAAUGCGUAGAUAUCACUUGGAACGCCGACGGUGAAAACAGUCUGCUGGGGGUUUGCUGGCGCUGAGACACGAAAGCCAGGGGAGCGAACGGG